CUCCCUGGCAGCAUAUGGAGGUUCUCAGGCUAGGGGUCGAAUCAGAGCUACAGCUGCCAGCCCAUAUCACAGCCACAGCAAUGCCAGAUCCAAGCCACGUCUGCGACCUACACCACAGCUUACGGCAAUGCCAGAUCUCCAACCCAAUGAGCGAGGCCAUGGAUCGAACCCGCAACCUCACAGUUCCUAGUCAGAUUCGUUUCAGCUGCGCCAAGACGGGAACUCCACAGUGCUGUAUCUUUAACCCACUGCACCACCAGUUUCUGACGUCCAACCAAGUGGUUCAGUUACUAUUUUUUUUUUCUUUUUACAGUUGCAGCUGUGGCACAUGGACGUUUCUGGGCUAGGGGUCAAAUUGGAACUACAGCUGCCAGCCUACACACAGCCACAGCACCACUGGAUCCAAGCCACAUCUGUGACCUACACUGCAGCUGGCAGCAAUGCCUGAUCCUUAACCGACUGAGUGAGGCCAGGGAUCAAACCCACACCCUGCGGACACUGUUGGGUUCUCAACCCACCGAGCCACAGCAGGAACUCCAAAGUGGUUCAGCCAUACAGAUUCUUUUCCAUUAUGGUCUAUUACAGGAUAUUGAGUAUAGUUCCCUGUACUACACAGGAGGACUUUGUUGUUUACCUAUUUUAUAUAUAGUAGGUUGUUUCUGCUAAAUGUAUUCUAAUUUAUCCUUCCCCCUUUGGUAAUUAUAAGUUUGUUUUCUAUGUCUGUGAGUCUGCUUCUGUUUUGUAAAUAAGUUCAUUUGAAUCACUUUUUAGGAUUCCACAUAUAGUGAUAGCAUAUGGUAUUUGUCUUUCUCUGUCUAGCUUACCUCACUCCGUAUGAUCUUCUCUAGGUCCAUCCAUGUUGCUGCAAACGGCACUAUUUCAUCCUUUUUUAAGGCUGAGUCAUUAAACUUCCAUUUCAGGGUCGGUUUCCCAGGACCACUUCCAGUACCAAAUGCUUUGGACUGAGAUCGCUGUGAACAGGCGCUGAGGCAGAGGGUUGUGUGUUGAAAGUUUGUCAGGGAGUGUUUCCAGGGGACACACCUGUCUAGAAGCAAGGAUGGCAGGAAUGGCGGAGGGAGAAUCUGGGAAAACUGUCACUGUGGUGAGCUGGGGCGGGUGGGAACCAGUGACAGGGGACAUGCUCCGGGAGUAGUAUUUCUGGCACUAGGGAGGUGAGAGGGCUAACAGCAACAAGAAGACAAUGGCACUGAUGCUGCAGAACACCGGUGAUGUGGUGGAAAGAGCAAACAGGCCCCGGAUGAGAUAAGGAGUCGGGCUCUCAUUCUGUGGCGUGGAUUGGGGCAGACACGUUGACAGGCUGGAGCGGCAGUGGCUGCUUCCCGAUUAUGCUGGCUGCCCCCUAGACCAGGACAGUGGCACUGAGCUGCAGCCAGCAGCUCUCCUGGCAGUUCGGGUCAGCAGUGUGGCUUUGGUACUGGUUCUGGAAGCUCAGGCCAGCUUCAUUUUCUCAACCCUCGCAAGGAUUCUGCAGUUGAACACUGGGCAAUUCCAACCACGUCUGUCUGAUUUCAAAAGCCAAGUUCUGUCCUCAACACCAUGUGGUGACUGGGAGAACUGAGCUUUCCUACCCAGAAUGAACUAAAUAAAAGGGAGCACACAUGGCUGGAGAAGAGGGCCGUGGGUAAGGAAAGGAGGCAGUGCAAAAAAUAAAAGCAGCUAUUUGGAGGUAAAAUACCAGGGCUCAAGUCCCUAACUCUACACCAUAUGAGCUGUGUGAUGUCCGGCAAGCUACUCAACCUCUCUGUGCUCGGUUUAGGAGUGAGCUCUCAGAAUCUCCCGCUCCUGACUCCAAUCUUUGGUUCUGUUUGAUGGAGAGUGAAGUUGCUUCUUGCCUCAUGUUUGCAAAACGGCUUUUCACAGCUCUGGCCACGGUGUCCUCCCCUAACUGUGUCAAGACAGGAAGAAAAGACAGACAGUGGGUGGGAAAGAGGGCUCUUUAAUUCACAGGCAGCUGUCUCCAGAUACGCUUCAGCAAAUGUGUCCUCAAGUCUCCUUGGUCAGGACCAGGGACAUGGUCACUGGCAGUUUUGUUGGAGUCGGAACAGACCACGCUUACCACUAUCUUGGAGCUUUUUUUGGGCAGUCUCUCUCCUUAGAAUGUUCUUCCUCCAGAGGUGUUUUUUGGGUUUUUUUUUUUCUUUUUUUUUUUUUUUGUCGUUUUAGGGCUGCACCUGCAGCAUAUGAAAGUUCCCAGGCUAGGGGUCCAAUCAGAGCUGCAUCUGCUGGCCUACACCACAGCCACAGCAAUGCCAGAUC
rnacentral:lncRNA from 1 species